rnacentral:rRNA from 1 species
UACAGAGGUCUCAAGCGUUGUUCGGAUUCAUUGGGCGUAAAGGGUGCGUAGGCGGCGCGUAAGUCGGGUGUGAAAUCUCGGAGCUUAACUCCGAAACUGCAUUCGAUACUGCCGGUGCUUGAGGACUGGAGAGGAGACUGGAAUUUACGGUGUAGCGGUGAAAUGCGUAGAUAUCGUAAGGAAGACCAGUGGCGAAAGGCGGGUCUCUGGACAGUUCCUGACGGCUG